UAUCUUUCUGCAUUUUCCAGAAAACCGAGGAAUCAAAGUACUUUUUUUUGCAUUGUUGAUUUGAAGCGGAGCAAAAAAUAUGACAUCGUUUUCAAAGAUGGCAUUCAGCUUUAGAAGAAGGGAUACAGUGGAAUUUUUGAUGCCUUCUCUCAAGCUUCCUUGUCCUUGAAUUGUGCUUGUCAUUAUGUACUUUUACUAGAAGCACAUAGCUCAUGGCUUGAUCCCUGCUGCCACCAUUGCUCCCAGGUCUGCAGUGCCCCGCACCCCUCCCCCUUGCAGCCCAAACCCCUCUCCAGAAAG